UUCGGUUGUGGUGUACGAGGCAACACGUACGGCGCUGCCACCGCUGACAAUAGAAAAUACAACGACGACGAACUCAUGAACACGAACUGCUCUGCUGAGCACACUAAAACCAAAACUAGAUUAUUGGUUCGUCAUUAUUACUCCCGGCCAGCCACCGGCCGACCGAUGGAUGCUCUACUCGAUGCCCAGCCUCUUCUUCAUCCCGCAGACGAAGUCGUAGACCUUCUCGGGCGGGUAGAGGUUCUUGGCGACGCUGGGGCGCUCGGCGCAGCGCUUGGCCCAGGCGGCCAGCCUCGGGCACUCCUUCUCCACGCUGACGCCGCCGAAGCGGUCGUAGGCGAGGAACCAGGACGUGAAGGGCACGAGCGCGACGUCGACGAAGCCGAGGGCGUCGCCACCGAAGAAGGGCCCGUCGCCGAGCGCGCCCUCCAGCGUGCGGAGGAUCUCGACCAUCUCGGCGCGCGCCUGCGCCUGGCCGUCCCCCUUGAGCUUCCACAGCCGGGUGCCGCAGUCGUACAGCUUCUUGUCGACGUAGUCCGCCCAGAAGCGGGCCUGCGCGCGCGCGUAGGGGUCGGCGGGGAGCAGCGCCGGCGCCGCCUCCGGGAACGCCUCGUCGAGGUACUGCACGAUGACGAGGGACUCGCAGACGGGGCGGCCGUCGUGCAGCAGCACGGGGAUCUUCUUGUGCACCGGGUUGGCGCGGAGGAGCAGCUCGCUCUUGUUCCUCAGGUCCUGCUCCAGGUACUCGUAGGCCAGGCCCUUCUCGUCCAGCGCGAUGCGGCAGCGCUGCCCGAAUGGGCUCACCCAGAAGUCCAGCAGCUGCAGGCCCUGCUUCUUCUCCUCGGCCAUGUCGAGCCUUUUCUUGUUCUCGCCUACGGCGUUAGCUACUUAGCUGCGUGUGUGAGGUGAGCGUGCACUUGUGCGGUGAGCAAUGGCGGAUCGAUGCUAGCUGUGGAGGUGAGGAUCGACGAGGGGCUCUUGCUUUAUUUAUAGGAACCGAUAGCGAGAGGGUGGAGCAGAGCUUCAACCACGCUCGAGGAGGUUCCGGAAGUUGGUCUCCAGUCCAGUCUCAACUAGUCUCCCCUGUCUGUGGGCUGUGGCUAGUGCGUCUCGGCGGGGAAAAGUUCGCACGGGGAUGCAAGCCUGCGGUGUCACGGGUGACGUCACGGCACGGUUUGCCUCUGUAUCGUGAACGCGAACCGCGCCUGGCACGAGUUGCAGGGCGUGGUGGCCACAGAAGAUCGGGACUGCCAUCGCACAUCCGGGAGGGCCGGAGGGGAGGACAGGAUGUAUGGGAUGACGAUAGGCGAGAAUGGGAGAUUGGAUCCACGAGUGCUUCCAUGCCCUGCCGCCUUCAGACCUGCUGGACCCAGAAUGUGCAAUACAAGUAUGUAGAUGAGUGGAUCUUUCUAAAAGUAUUAUUUUUCAAAUCAA
rnacentral:misc_RNA from 1 species